AGAGCAGGCCGGAUGGCCGCUGCUUUGCUUUAAAAGCAAAGGGGAGGAAAGUCCGGGCUCCACAGGACAGGAUGCUGGAUAACGUCCAGUCCCGGUGACGGGAAGGAAAGUGCAACAGAAAGUAUACCGCCUCUCUUCCGGCAUUGGCCGGAGGUUAUGGUAAGGGUGAAAUGGUGAGGUAAGAGCUCACCGUCCUGGCGGUGACGUCAGGAGCUUGGCAAACCCCAUCCGGAGCAAGACCAAAUAAGGAGGAGCAUGAGGGUGGUCCGCCCGAUUCUCCGGGUAGGUCGCUUGACCCUGAUGGCAACAUCAGGGCUAGAUGAAUGGUCAUCGUUCAGGGAUAUUUCCCUGAAAACAGAACCCGGCUUAUGGCCUGCUCUUUUU
rnacentral:RNase_P_RNA from 1 species